AACGUAGGUGGCAAGCGUUAUCCGGAAUUACUGGGCGUAAAGGGUGGUGCAGGCGGGGUUGCAAGUGGUGUAUGAAAUAUCCCAGCUUAACUGGGAGGGGUUAUGCCAGACUGCAACUCUAGAGGACGAGAGAGGGGGGUGGAAUUCCGGGUGUAGUGGUGAAAUGCGUAGAGAUCCGGAGGAACCCCAGAGGCGAAGGCGGCCCCCUGGCUCGUACCUGACGCUCAGCCACGAAAGCAUGGGGAGCGAACGGG
rnacentral:rRNA from 1 species